AGAGUUUGAUCAUGGCUCAGAAUGAACGUUGGCGGCGUGGAUUAGGCAUGCAAGUCGAACGAAUCCCGGGGGCAACCCCGGGGGAAGUGGCGAAAGGGGCAGUAAGGCAUGGGUAACUUGCCCCGGGGAUCGGGAUAGCCUUCCCAACGGAAGGGUAAUACCGAGCGUCGUGAGCGGGAGGCAUCUCCUGGUCACGAAAG
rnacentral:rRNA from 1 species